rnacentral:rRNA from 1 species
UACGGAGGGGGCGAGCGUUAUUCGGAAUUAUUGGGCGUAAAGGGCGCGUAGGCGGCCCGGUAAGUCAAAGGUGAAAUCCCUCGGCUCAACUGAGGAACUGCCUUUGAAACUGUCGGGCUUGAGGCCGGGAGGGGGUAGCGGAAUUCCCAGUGUAGCGGUGAAAUGCGUAGAUAUUGGGAGGAACACCGGUGGCGAAGGCGGCUACCUGGACCGGUUCUGACGCUGAUGCGCGAAAGCAUGGGGAGCGAACGGG